rnacentral:rRNA from 1 species
AGAGUUUGAUCCUGGCUCAGAACGAACGCUGGCGGCAGGCUUAACACAUGCAAGUCGAGCGCUGUAGCAAUACAGAGCGGCAGACGGGUGAGUAACGCGUGGGAAUCUACCCAUCCCUACGGAACAACUCCGGGAAACUGGAGCUAAUACCGUAUACGCCCUUUGGGGGAAAGAUUUAUCGGGGAUGGAUGAGCCCGCGUUGGAUUAGCUAGUUGGUGGGGUAAAGGCCUACCAAGGCGACGAUCCAUAGCUGGUCUGAGAGGAUGAUCAGCCACAUUGGGACUGAGACACGGCCCAAACUCCUACGGGAGGCAGCAGUGGGGAAUAUUGGACAAUGGGCGCAAGCCUGAUCCAGCCAUGCCGCGUGUGUGAUGAAGGCCUUAGGGUUGUAAAGCACUUUCACCGGAGAAGAUAAUGACGGUAUCCGGAGAAGAAGCCCCGGCUAACUUCGUGCCAGCAGCCGCGGUAAUACGAAGGGGGCUAGCGUUGUUCGGAAUUACUGGGCGUAAAGCGCACGUAGGCGGAUAUUUAAGUCAGGGGUGAAAUCCCGCAGCUCAACUGCGGAACUGCCUUUGAUACUGGGUAUCUUGAGUAUGGAAGAGGUAAGUGGAAUUGCGAGUGUAGAGGUGAAAUUCGUAGAUAUUCGCAGGAACACCAGUGGCGAAGGCGGCUUACUGGUCCAUAACUGACGCUGAGGUGCGAAAGCGUGGGGAGCAAACAGGAUUAGAUACCCUAGUAGUCC